AACAUCCAACAACAGUUCUGGUGAUAAUUUUGAGGUUGACAAAUGGCUGGAUGAUAACGAAGAUGAAAAUCUGUUGGUGAAUCUUGAAGAUGACUUUGAAAAUCAAUCUGUUCCAACGGUUGUAAUACUAGAUGACGACAUUCCACAUGAUGUAGUCAUAGAAAAGGAGUUUGAAAUUGAUGAUGAUAUUCCUAACGAUGUUCUAAAUGACCUGGAUGGUUAUGAAUGUUAGUUUGAUGAUCUGGUGACAAUGGAGAUCAUUUGAAGAGAAGUGGAAUCAUGGACAGCGUUUUAGGUAAAGUUGGGCGGUAUUGAAAUGUUGGGAACAUUUUCAGCACCUUAACAUACCACAGUAUACCAAUAUAUAACGUUUAGAUCUUGUAUGUAAAUGUGUGAUCUACUGUAACUGCUGUUUUUACUCAAUAAUCCAAGGCAAAUUCAAUAUUAUUUUAUUAACGAUCAUUAUUUCCGUAA